ensembl:lncRNA
GCAGCCGCGCUGCUCCGGCACGGCGCUCCCGGGCCCGCCGGCGCGCCGCGCUGCCGGCCGGGCGGCUGCCCUCGGACAAUUCAUCCUGCUUUCCUAAAGAUUAAUUUUCCAGGGCAUGGAGAGAACGCCUCGUUCAAACCGUGUUGGGCACCGCUCUUCAUUAAGUGAUCGCUGCUAUCAAACACGCUCUGGAUGUCUUGAAGGGGAGGGGGGGGCGGGGAGAGGCGGAGGGAAGAGGGGGAAAUCCCUUUUAGUUUUGCGAUUAGGCUGCCAGGCUUUGUAAAGGGCUUAAAAACAAAGUCAUGCUCAGUCUUUUGUAGGAGAGAUCCAGAUGUUAUGUAGAUUUCUGUGUGCAUGUUCGUUUUGAGCGGAUCCGGCGGUGAGCGCAGUAUUUACGUGUGUGUGUGUUGCUGGACUUUACCGUUUAUCGACGUUGCGCUUGUGGAAUGUAUGCUGGAGUAUUAACUCGAGGAUCUCCUCCAAGAUUAAAGCUAGUCCUAAGAGCAACCGAAUUGCUGUGACUGACUUUCACGGGACUGUAAAGAGAGAUCGGCUCAAAAGUCCAAAGAGAAAUGAGGUGUCCGGUAUGGAAGUGCAUCUCAGUCAACCGCCAGCUCCUUUUGCCGAGGCUGGAAAUGGUUUUAACAGGCGCCUUGCAAAAGUGGAUGGCACAACAGGCUGGAAUGCUUGUGAAAGUGGAAUGUUUGUAAAAGUGGAGACCAUAAACAGUCGACGUGUAUUUCCAUCACACGCCAGAGGGAAAAAAAAUAAAGAAGAAAAGAAGAAAACAACCACAAACCUGUCAGGUCUUCCCACUAAUACUGUUUGCACAGGGUAGUAAAAAAUCUAGUUUGCAAUUGUUCUAAGAAUCCCGAAGUAUGAAAAAAAUUUAAUCUUUCCGGUGUAACAUGGUAACCAAAAGGACAGUUAGGGCAAAGUAAAUGGCUUUAGUGUGAUACCAGAAAAUCUGCAAAGGCUUCAAACUCUCCACAAGCUCACUCAAAAUAUCUCCUUUUGUUCUCCAGCUGCCUAUAAAACUCCAGAAGAGAAGUGCUCUCAGUUUUACACUGGAGUUCUUGGUCCAGAGAGGACAAUAUACUCCUACCUCUUUUGAAAUGAUCCGGAGACUCACAACACACAGACAAUCACUCGAAGCACGAAUUUCCUUUUUUCCUUUCUUUUUUUCUUUCUUUCUUUUUUUUUUUUUUUCCAAGAACUGUUCGGCCCAUUGUUUGAACUGGGAUUCAGUGCAGAGCCCAAAGAGAAAAGGAAAAAAAAAUCCUGAGAGCCCAGUUUGGUAUUGCACAGAGAGUGAGCUGACAAAAUAUUAUAGCGUGUUUCCUAGAAGUACAUGGUGAGAGCCGGCGGUGUGUUCCCGAAAAGAGGUUGCUUUUUAUUUCCACCACCACCCCCCUCAAGAUUGUGAUCCUCUUUGUAUGUCUUUCUUUUGAUCCCACAAAGAGAAUGCAAUACACAUAUAUGUGUUUGCUCUCCAUACAAGAAAUGCCAUACAAUGGAAUAUGUGGCCGGUUAGUCCUCAUAAUGCUUAGUUUUGCUGUAAUUAAUUGAAAACAGUUAUUAGGUCGUCAUUGGCAAUAGCGUAAAUAAUUGCAGCAGAUUUUUACUUAAAAUUGACCGGUCAUAGAGUGAUAGAUCGAUUCGAGGUAUAAAAAUGAUGUAUCAAAACAUCAAUGUCGAUUAUUUGAAAUAUUGUAGUCGAAUCUUUUUAUUGCUUCAUCGGUUAAGUGUCUGAAAGUGCUGUGUUCCAACAUAUAUUUAUGUUGUCAAUACUGUCAAAACUGUCAGUUUUAUUACAGUGGAUUUGUAAUACAUUUCGGAUUUGCUCAUUUACAUAAAAUGUCCACCUCAGAUACCCCUCCUUUUCUCCAUCUCUGGAAAUCUGUGUCAGUUUAAUGAAAGGAUUCAAGACUCAUACCUGAAGAGGGGGGAAAAAAAGAAAAAGGAAAGGAGAAAAAAAAAAAAAAAGUAGGUGUUACUCCAUUAUGUCCAAUUUUAACAUCCGUUUGGAAAGCUUGGGCUAUUUCUGACUCGCCAAAAGAGGGAAUUCCUCCCCCCUUCCCCCUCCCUCCCCCAGCCCCGCUUAUUUCCCCAGUAGAAUUUAAAUACUUUUCUACUCUCACACCUAGAUUAAACCAUCCAGAAGAAUUGAGAAAUUGUACAGGGUUACAGUGAGGAGCCAAAGCACACCUGUGAGUGCCGCACCCUUCCCAAAGAGAGCAACAGCCCCCCGAACCACGCAUACACGCACAGGGUUUUGAAUCCUGCUAGAAAGAAGGAGACAAAAGGAGCAAUAAAUAUGUGUGUGAUCCUUUCCUAACGGUUUGG